UCCCCGAUUGAUUCUGUCGGCGGUUAUAUGCUUGUCUCAAAGGCUAAGCCAUGCAUGUCUAAGUUCAAAUAAACCUAUAAUGGUGAAACCGCGAACGGCUCAUUAUA
rnacentral:ncRNA from 1 species